GGGUCGUUAGCUCAGUUGGUAGAGCAGUUGACUUUUAAUCAAUUGGUCGCAGGUUCGAAUCCUGCACGACCACC
rnacentral:tRNA from 3 species